ensembl:lncRNA
AAACAGGGGCUCUGUCUUAUUCACUUAAUUGUAUUUGGUUCUUAGGAGCAGUCAGGUACAUAGUAUUUGUUAAAUGGACAUUGAAUGAACAAAGACCAUGAAAGGGCUUACAUCAGUGUUAUCACUCUAUAUUUGUGUAACAGAGAAUCAGAAAGAGAGAUGGAAGUGAGUAGGCAUUAUAGCUAUGGGCUUGAUGAACCUGGCUCAGAACUAUUGUGGCCUUGGAAUAUAAUCUUUGCUUUUAUAACUUUCCUGUUUUCUCCUCAUCACUGGACUCAUUUCUGUUAUAGUAUACGUUGAUGGAGACCUCCAUCUACUCUGUCAAUCUGUCAGUCCUUGGGAUGGGUAUCCUAGUCCAUAUUGAAGAGGAAAAGUCCACAGGGACAUGAUUUGCCCUCUGGCUCCAAGGUUAACACAGACAGUGAUAGUCUGUUCGAUGUGGAGGUAUCCCUUACAGCCCAGAAAAAUUCCAGGAGCAUAUCAUGCUCUACCUAGCACCCUGAUCUGAGCCUCAAGGUAGAAUCCAGGGUAUGGAUAAGAGGUGAGUGGGGAGGAGGAGGAGGAGCAAGGAAGGGAUGGAUGCUUAGGUAGCCCAGAUAGAGAACAGAAGCCUCAAACUCAAGUUGUUGUUUAGAGUUUCCCUGGAAUUUUUUUUUUUUGGCCACUGCUGUGGCAUGCAGAAGUUCCUGGGCCUGGGCAACAGCAGUGACUUGAGCCACAGCACUGAAAAUACUAGCCACCAGGGGACUCCAUAAUGACUCCCUCCUAGAUUCACUAGAAACAGAUGUAUAAUUAUUGGAUAAAAUAAAUGUGUAGGAGGGAAUCAAGAUGGCAGAGGCAGAGGAUGAAGCUCAUAUCCCUCUACAAAGACAUUAAAAAUACAUCUACUAGUGGAAUGAUUCACACAGAACAACUACUGAAGGCCUCAGACUUCCUAAAGGGCAAGAAAACCCCCAUGGGGCUGGGUAGGUUGAGGGGAAAAUGAAAAAAGAAAAUAAAAAGGAGGAAGAAAUCAGGUUUGGGCCUGCAACCCAGGGAAGGAGCUGUGAGGGAGGAAAUGUUCUCAUACCCUGGAGAAUCCUCUCACCAGUGGGAGACCAGCCUGGAUGGAGGAGGAAUUUUGGAGCCAAGGCAAUCUUGAGAAAGAAAAAUGGAGCUAGAGGAAUCAGGCUCCCGGACUUCAGACUAUAUUACAGAACUACAGCCAAAUAGUGCGGUGCUAGCACAAAAACAAAUAUAGAUCAGUGGAACCAGAUAGAGCCCAGAAAUAAACCCACACACCAGAGUUUCCACUGUGGAACAGUGGGUUAAAAAUUUGACUGUACUGGCAUGGGUCACUGCAGAGGUAUGGGUUUGAACCCCAGCCUGGCACAGUGGAUUAAGGAUCCAAAGUUGCUGCUGCUGUGCUGUAAGUCACAGCUGUGGUUUAGAGUCAAUCCUUGGCCUAGAACUUCCAUACACCAUGGGUAUGGCUAUUUAAAAAAACCCUCACAUACCUAUGGUCAAUUCAUAUAUAACAAAGGAGUCAAGAAUAUACAAUGGGGUCUCUUCAGUGAGUGGUCUCUUCAAUAAGUGGUGCUGGGAAAAUGGACAGCUACUUGUAAAAGAAGGAAAUUAGAACAUUCUCUAACACCAUACACAAAAAUAAAGUCAAAAUGGAUUAAAGACCUAAAUGUAAGACUGGAUACUAUGAAACUCUUAGAGAAAAACAUAGGCACAAUACUCUUUGACAUAAAUCACAAUAUUUUUGGAUCUACCUCCUAGAGUAAUGAAAAUAAAACCAAAAACAACAAAAUGGGAUCUAAUUAAACUUAAAAGCUUUUGCACAGCAAAGGAAACCAUAAACAAAAUGAAAAAAUAACCCACAGAAUGGGAGAAAGCAUUUGUAAAAGAAACAAGAGACAAGGGAUUAAUCUCCAAAAUAUACAAACAGUUCAUGAAGCUCAACACCCCCCCACACACAACAACAACAACAACAACAACCAGUCAGAAUCAAGAUGGCAGAGGAGUAGGAUGUGCUGCUCCCCUGCUCCCACAAACACAUAAAAAUUAAAAAAACUCUAUGCACAUAACAUCUAUUGAACACUGGCAGGAGACCUCAGACCUUCAAAAUAGCAAGAAAUUCCCUGCAUAACUUAGUGGGGAAAAAAAGUAAGAGGGGUAGAGAGAAGAGGAAAAAAAAGGAAACAGGAGGGGACCAGCACUCCUGAGAGAGAGCUAUGAAAGAGGAAAGUAAUCCACUCCUUGGUGAGGCAGAAUAAUAAUUAAGAUAUUCAGUUUAGGAACAUGGGCUUUGAUAUAUUCUUUGAUAUGGUUAUUGAUUAACAUCCAUGACUUAAGAGUUCCAGGGAGUAACAUCCCCACAGGCCUUGUUUACUAUAUGGAGUAUAUCUGUUUUAUGUCCAGGUGAAUGCUAAUCUCUAACCCACUCCUCAGCUGAUAGAAAAGGUGUUAGAUGAAUGGCAACUUCCAGUCUUGGGAAGAGAAGAACAAAGGAACCAUAAGACUUAUGGGAUAUAUCCACCUGCAAGACCCCUAUUGGACAAGGACUGAUAUAGGUAAACUGGACAAGGUUAGUGAGAAAAAGAACUGAUAUCUGGACCCCACAUUGGUACUCCCAUCUUUAAGAGAUAAAACCCCUAUAGAACAAUAGAGAUGGGGACUCUUCCUCCUCCUUGCAGUGUCUGUGCUGGGAGCUCUUUGCUUUCCUGUAAUAAAGACUUUUGCUUGCUUGAUGCUUAUAUGUUCACAAAGUUUAUUCUUUGGAUCUGUGAACAAGAACCUGGUUUCCAGUAACACUGGGAGGCCAUCCAACUGAUUGAGUGAUCAGUUAGGAUGGCAGGAGAGCCUCAAAGCCUUGGAGAAAAGUUCAGCAACAGGACUGAGGAGGACAAAGGAGAGAGGGAGAGCCUCACAGACCAGUAGUACCAAUGCCCUGGACACUACAGCCUGAGACAUUUAGGCAGGGGCUGGAUGCUGAGACUUAGGCUUCAGAAGUCAACUCCAGGGAGAGGACUGGGGUUGGCUGAGUGGAAAUAGCUUAACAGUGGCUAGGGAGCAGUGUACCACAGGCUGGGGAACAAGAGAGAAAGCCUAGGCCCACCAGAGAAGCAAAGUGCUAUUAUUGUGGAGGAUGCAAAGAGGAGGGGUGGGAGACCACCACAGGAACAUCUUUGUCUGUACAUACAUGGGCUCUUGAGCAGCAGGCGCCUCUUGGGUGGGCUAGGAGGGUGAAUGCUUCUGAGGUGGACAUGGCCAACCACCACUAUAAACAGACACUGCAUUCAAUCCCACCUUAGGGAUCACUGCUGUGGAGGGCCCUGCAACUGAGCACUGCUUACUACCCUCACCACCCCUAGGAAAGCACACACGUAGCUGCUGCUGCCAAAUGCUCUGAGAACCACCUCAACUCCCUGAGGGUCACUACCACUGCCUACGGCCUUGUUACCAGAAGCAGCCUGCAUCCCCAAUUCCCCCUGGGUCCUCAUCACUGCCAAGGUCCCAGCAAUCAAAUACCACCUACAGGCACUGCCCAUUUCCCCCACCUCCAUGGAAGCAUCUGCAGUCCAUAAACCAGUAGAACCCCUAAAAGCCUGCACACACUGAGGAAAGAGAUAGUAAGUAUACAAACCAAAAGUAGCCCUCACACCAAAGAAAUAAAAACAGUAAGCCUUCGCAAGCUACAUAGGGAUGCUUCUGCAUGUAAAUAGCCCUCCAAGGCUACAUUAGAUAAUUUUUUUUUUCUAAACUCACAGAAUAAUAAAAAUAUAAGCAAAAUGAAGAAGCACAGGAGCCAUUCCCAGUUAAAAGAAAAGGAUAAUUCCCCUGAAGGAGUAAACAAAAAAACAGAUCUCUGCAGUCUAACAGACACCAAGUUCAAAAAGGAGGUAGUGAAAAUAUGAAAUGAAUUAAGGAUGGACAAUUGAUAUGCAGAUUAAUUCAGAAAGGAAUUCGCAAAUAUAGGAAGAGCCAAGAAAAAUUAGAAAAUUCACUGGCAGAGAUGAAAGCUCAGUUAAAGGCAUUGAAUAGCAGAAUGAAUAAUGCAGAGGAAUGAGUUAGUGACUUGGAAUAUAGAAUAAUGGAAAUCACCCAAUCAGGAAGGCAGACAGAAAACUAAAUGAAAACACAUGAAAGCAAUAUAAAAGAUCAAUAGAAUAAUAUAAAGUGGGUUAAUCAACACAUAAUAUGGAUUCCAGAAUGAGAAGAAAAAGAAAAGGGGAUUCAAAAUAUAUUUGAAGAAAUUAUGGCUGAGAACUUUUCAAAUCUAAAGGAAACAGCUUUCAAGAUACAGGAAGAAUAGAGGGCCCCAAACAAGUUGAACACAAACAGACCUAUACCAAGACAUAUUAUAAUAAAAAUGGCAAAAAUUAAAUAUAAGGGAAAAUUCUAAAGGCAGCAGGAGAAAAACAAAUAGUUAAUUAUAAGGGAACCCCUAUAAGGCUAUCAGCAGAUUUCUCUACAGAAACACUAUAGACCAGAAGAGAGUGACAAGAUAAAUUUAAAGUUCUAAAAGGGAAAAAAUUGCAGCCUAGAAUACUCUACCCAGCAAUACUAUAAUUUAAAAUAGAAGGAGAAAUAAAAAAUUUAUCCCACAAACAAAAACAAAAACACAGCAACACUAAACCUAAUCAAAAAGAAAUACUGAAGGGGCUCCUCUAAGUAGGAAAGAAGAAAGAAGGUAGAGGAUAGAGGAAAUCACAAUUGGAAAGUUAUCACUUAAAUGAACCAGUAUAGAGAUUAGACAGGAAAAAAAUAACUAUUUGUAAAAAUGAUGAUAAAUACAAGGAACAACAAAAGGAUAAAUAUGAAGAUAUAUAAAAGGACAUCAAAAUCAUAAAAUGUGGGGAAGGAGAGUAAGAAAAUCUAGACUCUUUUUUUAAAAUGUUUUUGAGCCUAUAUGACUAUUGAGCAAGCUGAUAUAGGAAGGAGUUAACAUACUUGAAAAACUCGGAAACCACAAAUUAAAACCAAAAAGUACAUUCACAAAAACUAAAAAGAAGAGGACACAAACAUAAAA